CAAUAGCGUAUAUUUAAGUUGUUGCAGUUAAAAAGCUCGUAGUUGGAUUUCGGUUAAGAGCGACCGGUCCGCCGUUUGGUGUGCACUGGUUGGUUUUAACUUCCUGUAGAGGACGUGCUCUGGGUUUAACGACCUGGACUCGGAGUCUACGUGGUUACUUUGAAAAAAUUAGAGUGUUCAAAGCGGGCUUACGCUUGAAUAUUUCAGCAUGGAAUAACACUAUAGGACUCCUGUCCUAUUUCGUUGGUCUCGGGACGGGAGUAAUGAUUAAGAGGAACAGUUGGGGGCAUUCGUAUUUCAUUGUCAGAGGUGAAAUUCUUGGAUUUAUGAAAGACGAGCUUCUGCGAAAGCAUUUGCCAAGGAUGUUCUCAUUAA
rnacentral:rRNA from 1 species